rnacentral:lncRNA from 1 species
AAUUUCUCCCUGGUUUUAUCAUGGAGUCCUGGCAACCUCCUUUCCCCCAGUAGCUGGGAGGAACCUUGAGGGCCAGGCUAGGAAGGGAGGGAAGGUGGGGGCGGUAGAGGCGGAGGCUGAGCAGGACCAAGACCAGGACUAGGACCAGGGAGAGGACGCGGAGAUGGGUGGGGUGAGAUCGAGGGGAGGACCCAGGAGGCGGCGGCGCAUAGGAGGGGCGCUGCAGCCAAGCCACCAGCCUAGCUGUAGAGUGCUGUACUCCACAUACUCCUGGAGAUCCAGCCCCGCAGAUCGCGCAUCCCUGCCGCCGUUCGCCUUUAGGCAUCCUAAACUUGAGCGGCAGCUCGGUUUCAACCGAUCGACUGCUUGCUUCAAAUCAGACAGCAUUGCGACCCAGACACCGGAGUCCGCCGAGUGAAAGCACAACGCAGAGUAGGACAAGACCAAGAAAACAGCCACGCGAAGCAGCAACUCUAGGUUGGGAGUGCAGAAGCCAACAAGUGAGAAGGCGCCGCGUUUCCGGGGCGCAGCUAGAAUGCUAGAGCAGGCGCCAGAGAAGACAGCUAGAGUCGGAAUCAGAGCCCAAACCUCUCUCCUGGAGGCGGCUCAGCUUCUUUCUUUUCUAGACCUUCUUCGGUUGCGCUGGGCUUCCUUUUAUCCGGGUAGGAGCCACAUCCCUGGGGAAUAUGCAGCGCGCGUGGAUCCUGCUCACCUUGGGCUUGAUGGCCUGUGUGUCCUCAGAG